CGAUAUAUGUGGCGUAAAGCUAUUUCAGUGUGAUAGUUUUUGUAUGUUUAAUCCAUUGGUGUAAUGCACUGUGACUACGCUUUUGACUACUGGGGUCAAGGCACGACGGUAACAGUCACAUCAGCCACUUCGACCAAACCAACUGUGUUCCCUCUGAUACCAUGUGGUUCCGGGACUGGAACUACGGUCACUCUGGGCUGCCUCGCCACCGGCUUCUCACCCCCCUCACUGACUUACGCAUGGAACAAAAAUGGAGCUGCCUUGACAGGUUCUAUUCAGUACCCUCCGGUACUGAAAGGCGAGCACUACACAGGAGUCAGUCAAAUCGUAGUCCCGAAACAGGACUGGGAGACAAGCCAGUCCGGCCAAUACAAAUGUUCUGUGACACAUGCUGCAGGAAAUGGAGAAGCUUUCUUCCAAAGGAAAGUGUCAGUAUAUAAGACACCCGAGCUGAGAGUGUCGGCCUUGUCUGAUGAGGAAAACGAGGUGUCCUUCAUCUGCACUGCCACAGACUUUUCACCUAAAGCUCACCAGAUCAAAUGGCUGAAAAAUAAAAAGGAAGUCACUGACAAAAUCUCUGAAUACACAUCAAAGAAAAGCGGGAAUGGUACAGAACUGUACAGUGUAGCAAGUAUUCUCACAAUGCAAUCCGCUGACGUGCCUGCAUUGACCGAGAUUACGUGCGAGUUCAAGGGGAAAAACGCAACGGGUGAUGUAUUCACUCGUGACUUUCUGAGCUACAGCCCUGGAGGUCCAACAAGCACUGAAUGCCCUAAAGCAGACGUGGAAGUAACAAUCGAACCCCCCAAAUUGGAGGACAUAUUUGUAGAGAAGAAAGGUACCAUAAUAUGCCAUGUUAAGGCCAAUAAGCCUCGUGUUGUGAAGAUAUAUUGGGAAGAUCAGAAUGGAGAUGAAAUUGCCGGUGCCUAUAUGGAACCGAAAAAUGGUGAAACAACACACAGCCUUCCUCUUGGCAUCACAUAUGUCGAAUGGAGCCAGGGGAUUAAGUUCAUCUGUGUUGUGGAACAUAGUGCAGUGAUUGAUCCUAUAAAGACGCCUUAUGAAAGGAAAACCGGAGUGCUGACUCAACGUCCGUCAGUGUUUAUGAUGCCACCAGUAGAGCACAUAAAAAAAAAAAUGGUUACUCUGACUUGCUUUGUGAAAGACUUCUCCCCUGAAGAGGUUUUCGUUUCUUGGCUUGUUGAUGAUGAAUUGACAACAGACGAUUUCAAUACCACAAACCCAAUUAAAAACCAUGAAUCCUACUCGGCUUAUGGCCAGUUAUCAAUCAGCCUCGACCAGUGGAAAGAGGCUGGCUCGGUGUACAGCUGCGUGGUUUACCACCAAUCUCUGGAUUCCAAUACAAGAGCCAUUGUCAGAUCCAUUGCCUACAAUACAUUUGACAAACUCAACCUGGUCAACGUCAGCCUGAACAUACCUAACACGUGCAAGGCCUAGUAGAUGCUAUUUUGUGUCCUCUGCUGUUUGUUAAUGUUUGUUGCUUUUGAUAUGACAUUGUGUGUGUGUGUUUUUAAUGCAGAUUCAAAAUCAAAAUAAAAAAAAGCCCUUUGCAA